rnacentral:rRNA from 2 species
UGGGGAAUCUUGCGCAAUGGGCGAAAGCCUGACGCAGCAACGCCGCGUGGGGGAUGAAGGCUCUCGGGUUGUAAACCCCUUUCAGCAGGGACGAAAUUGACGGUACCUGCAGAAGAAGCCCCGGCUAACUACGUGCCAGCAGCCGCGGUAACACGUAGGGGGCAAGCGUUGUCCGGAUUUAUUGGGCGUAAAGAGCUCGUAGGUGGCUAAGUAAGUCGGGUGUCAAAUCCCCAGGCUCAACCUGGGUCUCCACUCGAUACUGCUUUGGCUAGAGUCCGGUAGGGGAGCGUGGAAUUCCUGGUGUAGCGGUGAAAUGCGCAGAUAUCAGGAGGAACACCAGCGGCGAAGGCGGCGCUCUGGGCCGGUACUGACACUGAGGAGCGAAAGCGUGGGUAGCAAACAGG